UUACGGUCUAAUCACGCUGAAAACACCGGUUUUCGUUCGAUCACCGAAGUUAAGCAUCGUAGAGCCAGGUCAGUACUUAGAUGGGGGACCGCUUGGGAACACCUGGUACUGUAAG